GGCAAAGAUCAGGGACCCCUGGGGGCGGGGUUUCAGCCUCCGCCCACACCCCCUGCCCGGGUUUGGCAGACGGCUUCCUGCGAAGGGCUGUGGGCGUCGGACGGAGGCCCUGGGAGGAAAGAGGCUUCCAGAGCAAGACUGGCGCUGGAGGCUGUGCGCCCGGGGCAUUGGCGGUCUCCGUGGAGCCGGAGUUGCCUGUGUCGUCACGAGAAGACACUUCCAGACACCAUCCUUUUAUUAACACAGCCUAAUAGGACUUGGCUUUUCCAGCAUCUGCAUGAACCUAAGUUUCCAGUGGAGCUCGCCCCUGGAACUACAGCAGGGUCAGUGAGCAGCCGGACAGUUGACCUGCAACUUUGUGCUUGAAGCAAAUCCUCCUCUGGCCUCAAGCGGAGCCCAGGAUGGUUAAGACGCAGUAAAUUCCUACUGGUCCGUUCGCGCAGAGGCCUAGGGUGAGUAGCUCAUCAGCGCCUACAUGGAAGGAGCCAUUCCAGCUGGCUGGAGCGAAGCUCCAAGGGCAACCUCUCACCCCUGGAGAGGUGAUUAAUUGUUUUUAAGAGGGACUGUGGGAGUGUGGCAGGAGAAUGUGCGUUUCCAAAGGAUCGCUAGAAUUCAGUCCAGAGUGAAUAUACCCAAGAUCACAGCAAACAAAACAAAAACUGCAAGGACUCCAUGGCCCCCAAAGACUGAAGCCACUGAAAUCCCAGAAGAGGAAGGGGAAUAGAACAGUAAGGAAACACAAGGAAUGCCUCCAAGGAAGGAAACUUACUCCGGAAGACCCCCAAAGCCGAGAUGCCCUUUCUCUUUUGAGCUGGAAUAUCUCGAAACCACAGUUUGAACUUGAAACCACAAUUUUCCUGACACUGUAUCAAAGGCUGGUCUUAAAGGAGCCUGCCAAUACGCCCAGGAUCAACCCUCGUCUCCACCAUUGGGACAGAGCAGCCUUUAUUCCCACUGGAUCCCUGUGGAAAUGUGGGCCCAGGCACUCCGACCCACUGCGCCGAAAGAAGACAGGCUCUGUUUGCUAGACAGAAGGGUGAACCCCAAAUGUGUCCUACUCCUGUAGUUUCAAACCGAAGGCGCCAAAGGUUUACCUGAUUAAACCAGAGGAAAUAAAAUCAGACUCCAAAGGACAUGUGGCAACAGGAAGCUGGGAGGUGCAUGAGGAGCGCCCGGCCCUGGCCACGGAGCAGCGCCUGGGGGCUGCCUGGCCGGACGCCGCGUCCGCGUCUAAAAUGACACGCAGAAAGGGAACCCAGGCAAGUCCCAGGCCUGGCAAGUUACUAACAGAGGCGACUGGGAAUCAAAUGGGGACUACAGGGUCAAGGGCAACCGAAGACCACUGAAGUUUGAAAACCCGACCCCCAUUAUGCUUGGGACAUCCCACCAAAAACAAUCACGUGGCAAAGACGCAGAUGUCGUGGCCUCUUGGGAAGAGCUGUUGCAGCAGCACAGACAAGCGACUACGGCAGCUGCCACCGAGGAGGGAACGGACUCUGUGACGCUGAACCGGGCGCAGUGUGACGGGGAUGACGCAGGGAAGCUGGGCAGCAGGAAGGAAAGCGGAAACAAAUGCACCUUUCUUCUUAGAUUCUACUUUAUUUGGUAA